AUGUCUGUGAUCAAAUUUCCUAAGUGGGCAAUUAAUGCAAUUAACUCCCAGAUGGCUCAUUUCUUUUGGGGAAAUCUGGGAGAUCAACACAAGUACCACCUAGCUAAUUGGGGGUUAAUUACUAGAAGGAAGGAGUAUGGAGGUUUGGGGGUCCCCAAUAUUAAAGAAUAUAAUAUGGCCUUAUUAGCUUCUUGGGGGGAAAGAUUUUUUAAUAACCCUGAUUCAGAUUGGUCUAAGCUUCUGCUUUAUAAAUACCGUGUUAACUCUCCCAAUCUCCUUUGGGAUAAAAGUGAAGGGGGCUCUACCUUCUAG
rnacentral:rRNA from 1 species